GCCCGGGUGGAGAAAUUGGUAGACUCGCCACCUUGAGGGGGUGGUGGCAGCAAUGCCGUGCAAGUUCGAAUCUUGUUCCGGGUA
rnacentral:tRNA from 1 species